rnacentral:lncRNA from 10 species
GUGAAAAUUUUCAAGGCAGCAUUCUAUUGGCACAGCUUUAUUAUCACUAUAUGCAGGACUGUUUUAAAUGCUGAGCCACAGCAGAUUCAGGAGAACACAGUCAUAAGUUUAGAAUCAACACAUUUAGACCAAGAUCCCGAUUUGUACAAAUGGUGGAAAGUAAAAUUAAUUUUCUGAGAAAAGUGAAAGAAAUGUUGGGAUGGAGACUAAUGAACGUCUUAUGCAGGAAAGAAGAAUGAAGACGACAGUAACUGAGGGCUUAAAGCAGGCAAGGGCCAACAAAACAAACAAACAAAACCUGUGAGUCAAAUGUGUAUCCUUCAGUUUUAAGUUGUUGAUUGUAUUGCAGUGUACCCUGAAUUCUGUUCAUCCAAAACUUCAAUAAGAGUUUUCUUGCACGCACAACAGCAUGUGGAGGAAAGCAAAACAGCAGAAGCACUGCCCAGUGUAGAGUGAAGUAGCAUAAAAAGAUUCCAAAUUUGUUGGAGCCAAUUACAUAGCAGAAUUAAACAGCAGAAAAGAUUGUAAGAAAUAACACAAGAGGGAUGGACCUUUUCUGAGGACAUUCCUAGGUGAUUAAGUAUUAGAGAUGUAACUAUUAUAUUUGAACAUUCAAGGGAGGCCGGGCAUGGUGGAUCACACCUGUAAUCC